CAGGGAUUGCCCCAGUAACGGCGAGUGAAGCGGCAACAGCUCAAAUUUGAAAUCUGGCUUCGGUCCGAGUUGUAAUUUGCAGAGGAUGUUUAUGGUGCGGUACCUUCCGAGUUCCCUGGAACGGGACGCCACAGAGGGUGAGAGCCCCGUCUGGUUGGAUGCCAAACCUGUGUUAAACUCCUUCAACGAGUCGAGUAGUUUGGGAAUGCUGCUCUAAAUGGGAGGUAAAUCUCUUCUAAAGCUAAAUACCGGCCAGAGACCGAUAGCGCACAAGUAGAGUGAUCGAAAGAUGAAAAGCACCUUGAAAAGGGGGUUAAACAGUACGUGAAAUUGUUAAAAGGGAAGCGUUUAUGACCAGACUUGUGUCGUGUGGCUCAUCCGAGGUUCUCCCCGGUGCACUCCACACGGCUCAGGCCAACAUCGGUUCUCGUUGGGGGAUAAGAACAGUAGGAACGUGGCCCCUCUCGGGGGGUGUUAUAGCCUACUGUACGAUACCUUGAUGGGGACCGAGGACCGCGCUUCGGCUAGGAUGUUGGCGUAAUGGUCAUUAGCGACCCGUCUUGAAACACGGACCAAGGAGUCGUCCAUUAGAGCGAGCGUUUGGGUGUAAAACCCGCACGCGUAAUGAAAGUGAAAUUAGGUGAGAGCUUCGGCGCAUCAUCGACCGAUCCUGAAGUUUACGGAUGGAUUUGAGUAAGAGUUUUAACGGACGGACCCGAAAGACAGUGAACUAUGCUUGAAUAGGGUGAAGCCAGAGGAAACUCUGGUGGAGGCUCGCAGCGGUUCUGACGUGCAAAUCGAUCGUCAAAUUUGAGCAUGGGGGCGAAAGACUAAUCGAACUGUCUAGUAGUGGGUACAGCGAGGAUUC
rnacentral:rRNA from 1 species